UCCAGACUCCUACGGGAGGCAGCAGUGGGGAAUAUUGCACAAUGGGGGAAACCCUGAUGCAGCGACGCCGCGUGAGCGAGGAAGUAUUUCGGUAUGUAAAGCUCUGUCAGCAGGGAAGAAGAAUGACGGUACCUGAAGAAGAAGCACCGGCUAAAUACGUGCCAGCAGCCGCGGUAAUACGUAUGGUGCAAGCGUUAUCCGGAUUUACUGGGUGUAAAGGGAGCGCAGGCGGUUCUGCAAGUCUGAUGUGAAAGCCCGGGGCUCAACCGCGGGACUGCAUUGGAAACUGCGGGACUGGAGUGUCGGAGGGGGAAGCGGAAUUCCUGGUGUAGCGGUGAAAUGCGUAGAUAUCAGGAGGAACACCGGCGGCGAAGGCGGCCUGCUGGACCGUGACUGACGUUGAGGCUCGAGAGCGUGGGGAGCAAACAGGAUUAGAUACCCCCGUACUA
rnacentral:rRNA from 1 species